GAAGAGCACUUUGACAUUAGCUCUCUGUUUCAGGUGCUGUGUCAACUCCAAAAAAUUGUAAAAAAAGAAGAACAAUAUAAAAUGAUUAAAGGAAAAAACAUAUGGUGUGCAGUACCAGCUACCAGCGUGCACAAAAAAAUUUAAUGUAGAAGAGCGUUAUUUUUUCCGAUUUCCGAAGGAACAUGAAAGAUGAUUGCAAUGGAUACGAUCAUGUGGAAGGCUGAACUUAGAACCAAAAGGUCCAGAAUAUGUGUACCACAAUUGUCGGUUGUGCCAUUUGCAUUUUGAAUAAAAAUGGUACACAAUAAAUAAAAUGAGAGCUUCAUCCAGAUGCCAUACUGACAAUAUUUUUUGUACUAGAAUGUGGGAAAGAAAACACACUUGACAUGGACAUUAAAGACGAAGCAGAAACAAAUAAAACUACAUUCAAGGGUACAAAACAGGACAUGAAAUUGUUGGAUAGCCCAAGGAAAAAGAAGCUGCGUUUGUAGAUUGCAAAAUUGAAGGCACAAAACGAAACGCUCCGCGAAACAAUCCGACGACUCCGUUUGAAAGAAAAGAAGAAAAGCAUACAAACAAAAGAGACUAACGAACAUGAAACUUUGAAAAAAUUAAGCCACUUCUGAAAAAAACGCAACUUAAAUUACAUUACAUGAUGUAUCGUAGGAGCAGAGACAAUAAGUAAUGUGCACAUAUAUAUUUUCCAACUAAAAAGAUAUACCCAAUGCAUACAUACAAAAUACAUCAUAAAUUGUCGUUAGUUUUGACUGCGUAGAAUAAUAGCUAGAUUAUAUUAUAAAUUAAAUAUACUGAAUGUAAUUUCUUGAAGCUGAUGUAAUUAUUUCAUCAUUACAGUAUACAAGCGCAAAAGAGAUACAAUGCUGACAUAUUCUUUGGCAUAACAAUUAGCUAUAAGUUCAUAAUUUAAGAUAUAAAUAACAUUUGAUUAUAAUAAUGCUCAGA